rnacentral:rRNA from 1 species
GAUGAACGCUGGCGGCGUGCCUAAUACAUGCAAGUCGAGCGAACAGACGAGGAGCUUGCUCCUCUGACGUUAGCGGCGGACGGGUGAGUAACACGUGGAUAACCUACCUAUAAGACUGGGAUAACUUCGGGAAACCGGAGCUAAUACCGGAUAAUAUAUUGAACCGCAUGGUUCAAUAGUGAAAGACGGUUUUGCUGGCACUUAUAGAUGGAUCCGCGCCGCAUUAGCUAGUUGGUAAGGUAACGGCUUACCAAGGCGACGAUGCGUAGCCGACCUGAGAGGGUGAUCGGCCACAGUGGAAGUGAGACACGGUCCAGACUCCUACGGGAGGCAGCAGUAGGGAAUCUUCCGCAAUGGGCGAAAGCCUGACGGAGCAACGCCGCGGGAGUGAUGAAGGUCUGCGGAUCGUAAAACUCUGUUAUAGGGAAGAACAAAUGUGUAAGUAACUAUGCACGUCUUGACGGUACCUAAUCAGAAAGCCACGGCUAACUACGUG